AAAACCGGCGAGUAGGGGGUGGGGGAUUGGAGGGCGAAUUGAUUUCCACCUCUCCCACUAUUUUCCUCGGAGACGUAACCUGUGCCGAUGAUCCGUCUUAAUAAGUAUAAUUACAUAUAUAAAUAAUAACAGUAAUCAACGUCUCGGGUGUAAUAAAUAACAUUGUAAAAUUACGAUGAGAACAAUAUUAUUAUUUUUUUUUCGAAUACUGUAACAAUCGUACAUAUGUGCCGACAGGAGGCCUAUGUAUAUAUAAGAACGUUGUCGGCAUCUGUGAGAAUUUUAUGAAAUGUAUUACGUUUUUUCACUGUUUUCAAAGUAUAUAUUCGACGAUGACUUUUUAUUAAUAAUUAUUUAGGUACGUGAUUUUAGAUUCUGACCGUCGAGCGUCUUCGUAGCGCAGGGGCGGAUCUGGAACAAGAUAACUGGGUGGAGGGACGAUUUUUGAAGUACAUAUAAGACACGCAUUUAUGACAAGCUCAAUGAUGAAUCAAGAGUAGUAUAUUGGAGAGUGACCGGGGGGAGGGAUCACUCCUAUCGCCCUCCUGUCGUAGUGUCUAUUGGUUUUAUUGCGUGUUUCUUGGAGUAGAUACCGGUAGUUACGGGUAAGAUACAGAACCUGGCAGUGUUCAUAUUACUCUGGUAUCAAAAAUUAUGUCUCUUGCCCCCCCCCCCCACAUGCAUUUGUUUUUACCACUUCAGGCCACAGGUGAAGGUAUCAAGAAGAUAAUAUGCUUUGCCCAUUCAUCCACAGAUAAUGUACUAAUUACCCGGGUAGUUUACGAAACAAACGUUUUUAAAAUGUUCACUUUAUCCAACAAGGAUGGAUGGUGUUCAUCUUACUCGGAUAAUGAAUACACUAUAUCCGUUUUUCGCAUUCUAUCCGUUACAUACAUGGUAUGCAUCAUAAAUGAUACAAGGAUUAUAUGAUGGCAGUGAUAACAAGCUGCCAAUAAUUUCGCCGUAAUGUGACACUCGUCCACUGUUCCCGUGGUUGCGGAUCACCGCUAUUUAAUACCUGCUAAUAGUAGGCGUAGCCAAAUGGAAACGCAUUGCGUAUUCCACAGCACAUCCUGAACCAUGGAAAAACAAAUACACCGUAAUUGCUAUUUUAUGACGAUGCUAUCAUAAGUCGAUGGUUUACCAAAGUAACUAUCAUUGUGUCUAUAAAUAAAAAAUUAUCUAUGAAAACCAUAUAUAGUAUAGAAAAUAAUGGCGCAUAUUAUCUGUGAUGGAAACGCCAUAGCUAAAAAAGCUGUCCUAGGAUAAUGAAGAUGGGUGUAGCCAUUUCUAUAGGUAAUUUAAUGUACAACUGUAAGCAACGAUAAACCAUUGCUUGUGAAAAAACGAUUCUGAGCAGAGUUCA